rnacentral:rRNA from 1 species
AACGCUAGCUACAGGCUUAACACAUGCAAGUCGAGGGGCAGCAUAAAAGUAGCAAUACUUUGGUGGCGACCGGCGCACGGGUGAGUAACGCGUAUGCAACCUACCUAUCAGAGGGGGAUAACCCGGCGAAAGUCGGACUAAUACCGCAUAAAACAGGGGCACCGCAUGGUGAUAUUUGUUAAAAAUUUAUUGCUGAUAGAUGGGCAUGCGUUCCAUUAGGUAGUUGGAGAGGUAACGGCUCACCAAGCCAACGAUGGAUAGGGGAACUGAGAGGUUGGUCCCCCACACUGGUACUGAGACACGGACCAGACUCCUACGGGAGGCAGCAGUGAGGAAUAUUGGUCAAUGGGCGAGAGCCUGAACCAGCCAAGUCGCGUGAAGGAAGAAGGAUCUAUGGUUCGUAAACUUCUUUUGCAGGGGAAUAAAGUGCAGGACGUGUCCUGUUUUGUAUGUACCCUGAGAAUAAGGAUCGGCUAACUCCGUGCCAGCAGCCGCGGUAAUACGGAGGAUCCGAGCGUUAUCCGGAUUUAUUGGGUUUAAAGGGUGCGUAGGUGGUUUGAUAAGUCAGCGGUGAAAGUUUGCAGCUUAACUGUAAAAAUGCCGUUGAAACUGUCGGACUUGAGUGUAAAUGAGGUAGGCGGAAUGCGUGGUGUAGCGGUGAAAUGCUUAGAUAUCACGAAGAACUCCGAUUG